GUGACCUCAAAUCAGGUAGGACUACCCGCUGAACUUAAGCAUAUCAAUAAGCGGAGGAAAAGAAACUAACAAGGAUUCCCCUAGUAACUGCGAGUGAAGCGGGAAAAGCUCAAAUUUAAAAUCUGGCAGUCCUUUAACUGCCCGAGUUGUAAUCUAGAGAAGUGUUAUCUGUGCUGGACCAUGUACAAGUCUUCUGGAAUGGAGCAUCAUAGAGGGUGAGAAUCCCGUCUUUGACAUGGACUGCCAGGACUUUGUGAUGCACUCUCAAAGAGUCGAGUUGUUUGGGAAUGCAGCUCAAAAUGGGUGGUAAAUUCCAUCUAAAGCUAAAUAUUGGCAAGAGACCGAUAGUGAACAAGUACCGUGAGGGAAAGAUGAAAAGAACUUUGGAAAGAGAGUUAAACAGUAUGUGAAAUUGCUGAAAGGGAAACACUUGAAGUCAGUCACAUUGUCCAGGGAUCAUCCCUUGCUUUUGCUUGGUGUACUUUCUGGUUGAUGGGUCAGCAUCAAUUUUGACUAUUGGAAAAAGGUUGAGGGAAUGUGGCAUCUUAGGAUGUGUUAUAGCCCUUGGUUGCAUAUAAUAGUUGGGAUUGAGGAACUCAGCAUGCCGCAAGGCCGGGUUUUUUU
rnacentral:rRNA from 2 species